AUGCAGUGUGUAUUUUAUCGAACAACUGGAAAGACCAGCUGUGAACAACUGGUUCUGUGGAAUAAGCUCUUCCCUGAGCGGGUACCAAUGUCCAUGAGGAAACUGAUCUCCAUUUAACUUCAUUUACUUCAUUACAGAGAAGGGACAGGUUUUCCGCACCAUCCACCUUCCCACAUCUCUGUAGCAGCCUGAUCUCUGUUCAGAGGAGAUGGAAGAGGGAAAUCACUCGGAGAUGACUGAGUUCAUUCUCUCAGGACUGACAGAAAGUCUGGAGCUGCAGGUUCCCCUCUUUGGGGUGUUCCUACUGAUUUAUGGUAUCACCCUUGUGGGGAAUGGGGGGAUGAUCUUGUUAAUCACAAUUGAUCCCUGACUCCACACCCCCAUGUACUUUUUCCUCAGGAAUUUGUCUUUCUGUGACCUCUGUCUUUCCUUUAUAAUUUCCCCCAAGAUGCUGCUGAAUUUCUUAGCCGAGAGGAAAAGCAUUUCUUACACUGCCUGCGCUGUGCAAAUGCAUCUCUCUAUCAUGUUUGGAGAUGCUGAGUGCCUCUUGCUGGCUGUGAUGGCGUUUGACCGUUAUGUGGCCAUCUGUAACCCACUGCUCUAUACAGUCACAAUGUCCAGGCAGCUUUGUAAAGGGCUCGUGGCUGGGGCAUACGCUGUGGCGAUGAUGGAUUCAAUGAUAAACUCGUGUUUUAUAUUUCAGCUGUCAUUCUGCAGCUCCAACAUCAUCGAUCAUUUCUUCUGUGACAUCCCCCCACUGUUGGCUCUCUCCUGUUCUGACACCCACAUCACUGAGAAUGUGAUCUUUACUUUCGCGUGCUGCGUUAUAAUGAGCAGCUUUGUGACUGUGCUCCUCUCCUAUGUCUAUAUCAUCUCCACCAUCCUGCAGAUCUGCUCUGCCAAGGGCCAGCGCAAAGCCUUCUCCACCUGCAUUUUCCACUUGACCUCUGUGGUUCUGCUUUUUGGCACCCUCCUCUUCAUGUAUUUACGUCCCACCUCCAGCUAUUCCACGGACAGAGAUAAAGUGGCCUCAGUGUUUUACACGCUGGUGAUCCCCAUGUUGAACCCCCUCAUCUACAGCCUGAGGAACAAGGAGGUGAUAGAUGCCCUGAGGAAAGCAAUCAAUAAAUUCCUAAGAAAUUCUUGA